UUUCGAAAGGAAGAUUAAUACCCCAUAAUAUAAGAGACGGCAUCGUUUUUUAUUGAAAACUCCGGUGGAUAGAGAUGGGCACGCGCAAGAUUAGAUAGUUGGUAGGGUAACGGCCUACCAAGUCAGUGAUCUUUAGGGGGCCUGAGAGGGUGAUCCCCCACACUGGUACUGAGACACGGACCAGACUCCUACGGGAGGCAGCAGUGAGGAAUAUUGGACAAUGGGUGAGAGCCUGAUCCAGCCAUCCCGCGUGAAGGACGACGGCCCUAUGGGUUGUAAACUUCUUUUGUAUAGGGAUAAACCUUUCCACGUGUGGAAAGCUGAAGGUACUAUACGAAUAAGCACCGGCUAACUCCGUGCCAGCAGCCGCGGUAAUACGGAGGGUGCAAGCGUUAUCCGGAUUUAUUGGGUUUAAAGGGUCCGUAGGCGGAUCUGUAAGUCAGUGGUGAAAUCUCAUAGCUUAACUAUGAAACUGCCAUUGAUACUGCAGGUCUUGAGUAAAGUAGAAGUGGCUGGAAUAAGUAGUGUAGCGGUGAAAUGCAUAGAUAUUACUUAGAACACCAAUUGCGAAGGCAGGUCACUAUGUUUUAACUGACGCUGAUGG
rnacentral:rRNA from 1 species